rnacentral:rRNA from 1 species
GAUGAACGCUGGCGGCGUGCCUAAUACAUGCAAGUCGAGCGAACAGAUGAGGAGCUUGCUCCUCUGACGUUAGCGGCGGACGGGUGAGUAACACGUGGAUAACCUACCUAUAAGACUGGGAUAACUUCGGGAAACCGGAGCUAAUACCGGAUAAUAUAUUGAACCGCAUGGUUCAAUAGUGAAAGACGGUUUUGCUGUCACUUAUAGAUGGAUCCGCGCCGCAUUAGCUAGUUGGUAAGGUAACGGCUUACCAAGGCAACGAUGCGUAGCCGACCUGAGAGGGUGAUCAGCCACACUGGAACUGAGACACGGUCCAGACUCCUACGGGAGGCAGCAGUAGGGAAUCUUCCGCAAUGGGCGAAAGCCUGACGGAGCAACGCCGCGUGAGUGAUGAAGGUCUUCGGAUCGUAAAACUCUGUUAUUAGGGAAGAACAAAAGUGUAAGUAACUAUGCACGUCUUGACGGUACCUAAUCAGAAAGCCACGGCUAACUACGUG